GAUGAACGCUGGCGGCGUGCCUAAUACAUGCAAGUCGAGCGAACGGACGAGAAGCUUGCUUUUCUGAUGUUAGCGGCGGACGGGUGAGUAACACGUGUAUAACCUACCUAUAAGACUGGGAUAACUUCGGGAAACCGGAGCUAAUACCGGAUAAUAUUUUGAACCGCAUGGUUCAAAAGUGAAAGACGGUCUUGCUGUCACUUAUAGAUGGAUCCGCGCUGCAUUAGCUAGUUGGUAAGGUAACGGCUUACCAAGGCAACGAUGCAUAGCCGACCUGAGAGGGUGAUAGGCCACACUGGAACUGAGACACGGUCCAGACUCCUACGGGAGGCAGCAGUAGGGAAUCUUCCGCAAUGGGCGAAAGCCUGACGGAGCAACGCCGCGUGAGUGAUGAAGGUCUUCGGAUCGUAAAACUCUGUUAUUAGGGAAGAACAUAUGUGUAAGUAACUGUGCACAUCUUGACGGUACCUAAUCAGAAAGCCACGGCUAACUACGUG
rnacentral:rRNA from 1 species